rnacentral:lncRNA from 1 species
GUCAGGAGCCUUUGGCCUUUGUUAGUCUUGUAUUAUUUUAAUUUUAGUUUCUUGUGUACAAUUUGGAAAUUAGUAUGGCGUUCAUUAUCACUGGACAAGUAUAUAUUUGUUUAGGGGCCAGCUGAAGGACGCCUCCGGGUGCGGGAAUUUCUCGCUACAUUGAAGACCUGUUGGUGACCCUCUGCUGUUGUUUUUUAUUUGGUCGGGUUGUUGUCUCUUUGACACAUUCCCCAUUUCCAUUCUCAAUUUUAUGAAGUU